AUUGAACGCUGGCGGCAUGCCUUACACAUGCAAGUCGAACGGCAGCACGGGAGCAAUCCUGGUGGCGAGUGGCGAACGGGUGAGUAAUACAUCGGAACGUGCCCAAUCGUGGGGGAUAACGCAGCGAAAGCUGUGCUAAUACCGCAUACGAUCUACGGAUGAAAGCAGGGGACCGCAAGGCCUUGCGCGAAUGGAGCGGCCGAUGGCAGAUUAGGUAGUUGGUGGGGUAAAGGCUCACCAAGCCAACGAUCUGUAGCUGGUCUGAGAGGACGACCAGCAACACUGGGACUGAGACACGGCCCAGACUCCUACGGGAGGCAGCAGUGGGGAAUUUUGGACAAUGGGCGCAAGCCUGAUCCAGCCAUGCCGCGUGCAGGAUGAAGGCCUUCGGGUUGUAAACUGCUUUUGUACGGAACGAAACGGCUCUUUCUAAUAAAGAGGGCUAAUGACGGUACCGUAAGAAUAAGCACCGGCUAACUACGUGCCAGCAGCCGCCGUAACAC
rnacentral:rRNA from 1 species